rnacentral:rRNA from 1 species
GCCCAGCUGCCAGCCGCCGCUCAGAUGCAGCAGGGUCGCGCCGCCCUGCAGCGGGCUCGGGCCAUAGUUUUUCGGCAGCGCCACCAGCGGGUUUUUCUGCAGCAGCGGCAGAAAACGCAGCAGCGCCGGGCAACGCGGGCUAAACGGUUUACGGUUCGGCAGCACAUCUUUCGGAUGGCUCACCGCUUUAUAGUUAAUGCUACGUUUCUGCACGGUAAUCUGCAGAAAAAAGCCCGGUUUGUUACGGCCCGCCACCGGCGGAAUUUUCAGCGGGCUACGGUUACGACGAAUUUUCGGGCUAAACGCCGGCAGCGGGUUUUUUUAGUUGGUAAUGCUAAAAUCACGGGUUUCGCCCGGCGGGUUUUUGUUCAGCGGCACUUUGCUAUCCAGCAGGCUCGGAUAUUUGCCCGGAUGCGGCGGAAACAGACGCAGGCUCGGGCUCACGCCACGCGGCAGCAGAUGUUUCUGGCCACGCAGCUGACGCGGCGGGCUAAACGCCGGGCUUUACAGGCAAUAUUAAAUGCCCUGGUUUUCGCCGCCCAGAAAGCUGGUAUAUUUCGGGGUAUGGGUUUUACGGCCGCCCGGGGUGGUCAGGCUAAAGCCAAUAAAGCCAUCGCCACGCGGGCUCGCGCCGCCCCACAGUUAAAAAUCCAGCAGAAAAUGACGCGGCGCGCCGCCCCACAGCGGCGGGCACGGCGGUUUAAUUUUGGUAAACACCGGGCUCACUUUGCCCAGGUUCUGGCCGCCUUUAAAACGUUUGCUAAUGCUGUUGCCGCCUUUCGGAAAGCAUUAGCCACGCGGCGCCAGCGCGUUAUCUUCCGCGGUAUCCAGGCUCGGGGUAAUGCCCGGCACGCUCACCACGCCCCAGCCUUACUGGCCGCACGGUUAGGUCGGAAAUUUCAGGCUCACGCCCGGGCUCAGGCCGCUGCUCGGCGGGCUGCUGGUCAGUUCAUCAUGGCCUUUAUGGCUCGGGCUCCACACAUGUUACAGCGGUUAUUAAUACAGAUCCGCAAAGCCCGGCGGGCUCGCAAAGCCCAUAAAGCUGUUGCCGGUACGAAUCGGGGUGCCCACACGACGCCAGCUGGUGCUAAUCGCCAGAAUGGUGCUAUCCGCAUGACGCGGGCUAUAGGUGCCCGGAUCCACGCACACGCCACGUUAGCCUUUCGGGGUCGGGCCGCCACGGUUACGUUAACGCAGACGCUGGCUGCCCGCGGUGCUCGGCGGAUAAAUCAGCGGCGGCAGACGGCCCAGCGCACGCCA